GCUGGGAUAGCUCAGUCGGUAGAGCAUGAAACUCAGGAUUGUGGGUUUGAGCCCCAUGUUGGGCA